rnacentral:rRNA from 1 species
CCUACGGGAGGCAGCAGUGGGGAAUAUUGGACAAUGGGGGCAACCCUGAUCCAGCCAUGCCGCGUGUGUGAAGAAGGCCUUUUGGUUGUAAAGCACUUUAAGCAGGGAGGAGAGGCUAAUGGUUAAUACCCAUUAGAUUAGACGUUACCUGCAGAAUAAGCACCGGCUAACUCUGUGCCAGCAGCCGCGGUAAU